GUAUAAGAAAGCCUUUCUCUCACAGCUAAUGAGUUCAGAGCUUUAUACAAGACUUCCAGGCUAGAGAAUUUCAAGGCCUGGAGGACCUGGCACUAGGACCCAGGGCCCAUUUGCAGGAUCUCUCUGCUUUCUGCUUCCCAGAUGGUUUCCUCUCUUCUCAGCUGUACAGUGGGGAAUGUUUGGUUUUAAUUUGGGUUCUCUUGGCAAGGCCAUGCUAAGCCUGGUGCGCCUCGAAGGGCCUUGAGGGCUAGAUGUUCUUUGUUGGGGAGUUGAGGCUUGGAAAUCCUUUACGUAUCUGACACACUGUGGAAAUCAUGGCAAUAUCUAGGCGACGCCAGUGACACGCAUAACUAUGACUAUGUUUGAUCUUAACCAUGUUUCAAGUCACAUCAUGAUGGAAAAAGACUAAGUCUGGAAUUUCAGGGGCAUUUCAGCAACACUGAGACUCCGAAUUGAAUGUUUCAUUGCAGUUUAAUCUACGCAUGAAGUUUAAGAGCAAAAUUUUGUAAAGAAAUCUCAAUGACAAUGAAAGCCAGUUACCGGAUUGUGUCCAUUUUAUUAAAAAGGCAAACAUUGUCUAUAGUAACUACUGCUCUGAAAUAUAUAUUAUACGCACUCCAAUAAACUUCUGCAUGGCCUAACAAAGUAUAUUCAUUGCUUAUUUUUUAUUUACCUCGGAAUAAAUUCAUUAAAAUGAAUAACAAGGGCAUGUGCAUUUUUAUGACUUUUAUCAGACCAACUCGCUAGAAGAAAAUGCUUUGAUUGCACUCAAGAACAAAGAAGUAUGAACUUUGUUGAUUCUAGUAAUUUAUUAAGUGCCAAAUUUCAACGCAUUUUUAAAAAGAAAUCUGUUAUGGGUAACAAUGAUCUAAGUUGUUAUAUUUAGAAAUAGCUGAGUUGAAGAGUGUUUUGAAUGUCCUAUGUAUGGUGCAUCCUGUACACUGAUUUAAGGUCAGAAGUUUGAUAUUUUUGUAUAAUUCUAUCUUAUCUUGUGCAUCAGCUGUGUAUUUUACGUCAAGGUAAAUGAACAUCCUGUCAUAUGUUAAAUAAAAAAUGACUCUUUCAAAGAAGAAUGUGAUGGCUGUGAUUUUUUAGUACACGAAUUUUAUCCAAGAUGAAUAUUUCUUCUAAAAC
rnacentral:lncRNA from 1 species